rnacentral:lncRNA from 1 species
CUCUGGAUUAUAUGACUAUCUCUGUCUCUGUCUCUUUGUCUUGAUGUCUCUAUUUCUGCCUCUUUCUCUUUCAGAUGCCUCUCUGUCUCUCCUGUAAAAUAUGGCUAUUUUUGUCAGUCUCAAUGAGAGAAAGACCCAAAGAAGGUGGAUUAGUGGUGUGAACUUACUGAUUGGAAGGAUGGCACCACCUGUGACAGGUAAAUUUUAAAUAUAAUUAGAUUUGAGAGGAAGGAUAGUAAAACCACAUACAUUGUGCAGUUGAGAUGCCUAAAUGAUAUCCAGUUGGAAAUGAAGUAGUUGUUGAUAUGAGAUUGCAACUUAGAAGGAAGACUAUGGAUUUAUACAACAAAAUCAUCUAUAUAGAGAUGAUAAUUAAUAAA